rnacentral:rRNA from 1 species
GACGAACCGUGCAAACGUUAUUCGGAAUCACUGGGCAUAAAGGGCGCGUAGGCGGCUCCAAAAGUCAGGGGUGAAAUCCGGCAGCUUAACUGUCGCAGUGCCUUUGAUACUGUGGAGCUAGAGGGAGGUAGGGGUCUGUGGAACUUCCGGUGGAGCGGUGAAAUGCGUUGAUAUCGGAAGGAACGCCGGUGGCGAAAGCGACGGACUGGAUCUCUUCUGACACUGAGGCGCGAAAGCCAGGGGAGCAAACGGG